rnacentral:lncRNA from 1 species
AAGGGAGAAGGGGCUACUUAGGGCCUCAGAGGUCACAAAGUCCCUGCAUGAUUGACAGGACCUGCUGUGGUGGGAAGAGGUAGGAGUAGGAUAAAGGAGGGGGCUUGUGCUCUUGGUGGGAGUGGAAUUCGGGGACCCAAGCUUACUGGUGAUGCGGGUCCCACGUGACCAAGAGAGCUGACGUGGGCAAAGGUACUUAAAGCCUUACGGCCAUCCCUGCCAUCUUCCUCCGAGUACCAACGCUAUUAAAGCUGCGGUCAGUCUAGCGAGACAGAGAGAAUUCCCUCAGAACUGGCCAGCCCCCUGCCUUUCUAGGGCGCUAGCAAAUGGGUGUGCCAGCUUCUGUGGGAGAGAUGGAGCAUUUGGAGCUGUACGGGCUUCACAGGCUGGGGGACCGUGAGAGAAUCUGGUAUUAGACCGCCAUGCUAACUGCCAAGCUGCUCUCCAGACACCUGCGGCCCACCAGCCCUUCACCCUGGUCCUUUUGGCCCUGAAAAGGGAAUUCGGGUUCUUAGUCUGCCCCUGCAGUCUGUAUUCCUGCCCUUCAGCCCGUCCUCAGCAGGAAACUCUGGCCUAAUUCGAGGAAGGAUACAGAGCUCUGAAUUCUUGCAGACACCUUUGUCCUGGAGUGUCCUUUUUGGUGCAGGGAAGGGGGCGUGUGGAACUGUCUUUAUCCGUCUACCUUGAGACUCUGCAACUGCGAGCACAGUGGAAAUUGUUCCUGAUCCCAGGAAGCUGGUAUGUACAUGAGCGCUGUCUGAGGACAUUUGAAUGGGGUUCAGGAUAUUAUAGGUGAAUCUAAAAUGUCCCCCUCUCUGCCAGGCUUCCAUAUUAUCCCCU